rnacentral:lncRNA from 10 species
UUUAGACAGCAAAAUUCAAGCCAGCUGCGAGAUCUCUGUUGAAAAAGACCCUGGGGAAGAAUGUAAGAGACAGCUGCAAGAGCUUCCAGCAACAUCCUGGCAGGAAGAGAAGAAUAUGAGCUUUCACGAACUGUCUACCACACUGUGGUUAAAAUCAGAAGAGAGCUGAAUAAAGGCAACGUGGGCACCAGGAGCAUCUGUCUAAGAUUAGGAUAUCAAAGCAUAGGGAAGAAGAAAAGAGAUGGGAAAGAAACCUAGAAUCUGAGUUGACGGAAAUGCUCAAGGGACUCCACAGAAGCAGAAUGUGAAAUAUUCAGCUCAACAGUUCAUCUGCUAUAAAGCUGAGCAGUAACCUCCCUUUCUAUUACCCUAUGUCUUCGGUAAUAUUGACAACUUACACAAAUGCCUUGUGUCCUUGAUAGUUCUCACUGGGAGCAACUAGGUGAGGAAAAAGAUAAGAAUUCUCAAAAUGG